AUGAUGGUGCUACUCACCGGCGGGACAGGCAAACUGGGGCGUCCUUUGGUAACGGCGCUGAAGCGGCGGGGUUAUAAGGUCCGCGUCAUGAGCACGCGUGAACGUGACAACUCUGUUGAGCCGGACACCGCAUGGGUGUGCGCCGAUCUCGCGACGGGCGGAGGGCUCGAUGCUGCGGUUGAAGGUGUGGACACGAUUGUCCAUCUUGCAUCCAGUCCUCGAAAUCCCCAGGCGGUGGAUGUAGAUGGUACUCGACGGCUGGUAGGAGCUGCGCUACGUGGCGGUGUAUCGCACCUUUUCUAUGUAUCGAUCGUCGGCAUCGACCAGGUUCCUACGACUUAUUACAAAGC
rnacentral:misc_RNA from 1 species